rnacentral:rRNA from 1 species
CACGUAGGGCGCAAGCGUUGUUCGGAAUUACUGGGCGUAAAGGGCGCGUAGGCGGCCUUCUAAGUCGGACGUGAAAUCCCUCGGCUUAACCGAGGAACUGCGUCUGAUACUGAAAGGCUUGAAUCCGGGAGAGGGAUGUGGAAUUCCAGGUGUAGCGGUGAAAUGCGUAGAUAUCUGGAGGAACACCGGUGGCGAAGGCGGCAUCCUGGACCGGUAUUGACGCUGAGGCAUGAAAGCGUGGGGAGCAAACAGG